UCCGUGGUUGCUAUGGUAACUGGCCCGACUUGGAAAAGGUUCUGAUAAUGGCGGACGUGCUGGGUUCGCGUGGAUACCAGUCAGUUUACGCAGUCCAUUGGGAAGCCCGCUUAUUUUGUGGGGCGGCUUGAGAACAUCUUGUACUGUAUAAUGAAGCUCUGAAAAUUAUUCAUGACUUUUCUGAAUACUAUCCUUUUGGUUCUGAUUGAUGCCUGACACAAUAAGAAAUGGGACAAUUCUACACUUAAUGAAGAAAAGUAUCCAACCUCAUUUGAAAACAAGUUGGCUUAAAAAUCACUUGGAGCAACUUCACAUGCCCGUGAUAUGGUUCAAUUUUCUUUCUGGAAUGGAGUUUUGUAUCUCUGCCACUGGACCUAAACGAUGGUGAAAUAGUGAUGGAGAAAAACACAUAUCUCUGAUAAAAGGCAAAAAACUUCUCAAUAGAUGUAUAUUUAAUAUCAGAUUGACUGUGCUGAUAUUAUGCUCAAGAUUCUAAUGAUUCAAUGCAGCAGUUAUCAGCUCACUGGAUCUCUUCAUUUAGUAGCUAUCACAAUACCAUCCUGUGUUGCUUGAGGCAUAUGGAAUAACAAUCAUCAAAACUGUGAAGCAAAUUGAACUUUUUAUUGUUUCAAAAACAGAAUCAGGUGGUUUUAACAAGUGGUUUGAACCCUUUAGACUACAGAAACAUACAGCUGUCCAAAUAUUUGAAUACUGGCUAAAUUAGAAACAAUAUAUUUGCAGUGCAGCUAUUUAACCUUUCAAUACUCAUGUAGAAUAUUAAAAUGUUUGUACAGAAA